UGAAUAACUAUUAGUUUUGAUUGCAUAAAUAAGAACACGUAGUUACAUGGUUCAAAUAGUUCCACAGAGAAUCAUCUAAAAUCCCUAAUCUGAUGAGAUUAGUUACUCAUAAUAAUAAUUAACAUAACAAAAGAGUUAAGAAAAUUAUACAUGAAUAACCGAUGAAGACCGCGACGGCGAAACCCUAGAAUAGUCUUCUUCUCUUUUGCUGCCGGCACGUAUUUCUCUC
rnacentral:lncRNA from 1 species